rnacentral:rRNA from 1 species
UUCUAGUGGCGGACGGGUGAGUAACGCGUGGGUAACCUGCCUUAUACAGGGGGAUAACAGUCAGAAAUGGCUGCUAAUACCGCAUAAGCGCACAGAGCUGCAUGGCUCAGUGUGAAAAACUCCGGUGGUAUAAGAUGGACCCGCGUUGGAUUAGCUUGUUGGUGGGGUAACGGCCCACCAAGGCGACGAUCCAUAGCCGGCCUGAGAGGGUGAACGGCCACAUUGGGACUGAGACACGGCCCAGACUCCUACGGGAGGCAGCAGUGGGGAAUAUUGCACAAUGGGGGAAACCCUGAUGCAGCGACGCCGCGUGAAGGAAGAAGUAUCUCGGUAUGUAAACUUCUAUCAGCAGGGAAGAUAGUGACGGUACCUGACUAAGAAGCCCCGGCUAACUACGUGCCAGCAGCCGCGGUAAUACGUAGGGGGCAAGCGUUAUCCGGAUUUACUGGGUGUAAAGGGAGCGUAGACGGUGUGGCAAGUCUGAUGUGAAAGGCAUGGGCUCAACCUGUGGACUGCAUUGGAAACUGUCAUACUUGAGUGCCGGAGGGGUAAGCGGAAUUCCUAGUGUAGCGGUGAAAUGCGUAGAUAUUAGGAGGAAC